rnacentral:rRNA from 1 species
GGAAUCUUGGACAAUGGGCGCAAGCCUGAUCCAGCCAUGCCGCGUGGAUGAUGAAGGCCUUAGGGUUGUAAAAUCCUUUCAGCGGGGACGAUAAUGACGGUACCCGCAGAAGAAGCCCCGGCUAACUACGUGCCAGCAGCCGCGGUAAUACGAAGGGGGCUAGCGUUGUUCGGAUUUACUGGGCGUAAAGCGAGUGUAGGCGGGUCGUUAAGUUGGGGGUGAAAUCCCGAGGCUCAACCUCGGAACUGCCUCCAAAACUGGCGACCUGGAGCAAGAUAGAGGCGAGUGGAAUUGCGAGUGUAGAGGUGAAAUUCGUAGAUAUUCGCAGGAACACCAGUGGCGAAGGCGACUCGCUGGAUCUUUGCUGACGCUGAGACGCGAAAGCGUGGGGAGCAAAC